AGGGUUUGAUUAUGGCUCAGAAUGAACGCUGGCGGCACGCUUAACACAUGCAAGUCGAACGAGAUCUUCGGAUCUAGUGGCAGACGGGUGAGUAACGCGUGGGAACCUGCCCUUUAGUAGAGAAUAACUCGGGGAAACUCGAGCUAAUACUUUAUACGCCCUUCGGGGGAAAGCUUUAUGCGCUAUUGGAUGGGCCCGCGUUAGAUUAGUUUGUUGGUGAGGUAACGGCUCACCAAGGCUACGAUCUAUAGCUGGUCUGAGAGGAUGAUCAGCCACACUGGGACUGAGACACGGCCCAGACUCCUACGGGAGGCAGCAGUGGGGAAUAUUGGACAAUGGGGGCAACCCUGAUCCAGCGAUGCCGCGUGAGUGAUGAAGGCCCUAGGGUUGUAAAGCUCUUUUGUCAGGGAAGAUAAUGACGGUACCUGAAGAAUAAGAUCCGGCUAACUCCGUGCCAGCCGCCGCGGUAAUAC
rnacentral:rRNA from 1 species